UACGGAGGGUGCAAACGUUGCUCGGAAUCAUUGGGCGUAAAGCGCACGUAGGCGGUUGCUUAAGUCGGAUGUGAAAGCCCUCGGCUCAACCGAGGAAGAGCAUUCGAAACUGGGCGACUUGAAUACUGGAGAGGGUGGCGGAAUUCCCGGUGUAGAGGUGAAAUUCGUAGAUAUCGGGAGGAACACCAGCGGCGAAGGCGGCCACCUGGACAGAUAUUGACGCUGAGGUGCGAAAGCGUGGGGAGCAAACAGG
rnacentral:rRNA from 1 species